rnacentral:rRNA from 1 species
GAUGAACGCUAGCGGCAGGCCUAAUACAUGCAAGUCGAACGGGUGGUCGCAAGACCACUAGUGGCGCACGGGUGCGUAACGCGUAACCAACCUGCCCCGAUCUGGGGGAUAGCCCGCCGAAAGGCGGAUUAAUACCGCAUAUACCCGCAGCCUGGCAUCAGGCAACGAGGAAAGAUUUAUUGGAUCGGGAUGGGGUUGCGUGACAUUAGCUAGUUGGCGGGGUAAGGGCCCACCAAGGCGACGAUGUCUAGGGGACCUGAAAGGGUGAUCCCCCACACUGGCACUGAGAUACGGGCCAGACUCCUACGGGAGGCAGCAGUAGGGAAUAUUGGGCAAUGGGCGAGAGCCUGACCCAGCCAUGCCGCGUGCCGGAUGAAGGCCUUCUGGGUUGUAAACGGCUUUUCUCAGGGAAGAAAAAGACCUUGCGAGGUACACUGACGGUACCUGAGGAAUAAGCACCGGCUAACUCCGUG